rnacentral:lncRNA from 1 species
AAAGAUUUGAUAAAGUCAAAAUAAUUUGAAUUUUGUUGCACAAUAUCACCUUCUAAGAUUGGCCAUUGGAACAAACAACCACUUGGAUUUGGUACAACCUACAAGACUAUGGUAGAAUAGAAUGGAACAACUUGAUCCAAAAGUUUGCAAAUUCCAAAGACACUGAUGAUUUCUAGUUCAAAUCAUUUGACAACUCCUAAGGUAGUAAUAGAGUACUUUGCUCUUGAUCAAGUAGCUGACUAUACUAACUCCUGUAUAAAUUUAACACUCCAAAUAGUAGACCAUGAUCUCAUUUAGUUGGGUUGCACCAUAAUUAAUGUUGAAUCACUAGUCUACCUAGGCAGGGGGUUUCUCAACUCUAUUUUAGCCUAGCCUUGUAUCGGUUACUCCCUGCAAUGAAUACAUAUUCAUUCAUGCCAGAAAACAAACAUACAACAAAAAUAAAAAUAAAUAAAAAAACAAAAAAAAAAAAGACUGAAUCAAGUCCCACCACGGUCCCUUCACCGUAUACACCGCAUUUGCGUUGGUGACGAUGCAGAGCAGCAGUAGCAGUGGAGUGUUCAAGCAAAGCGACGAUGGAUGAAUCGCCGACCAUCCACACAAACUGCCUGUAAGGAGGCCGGGAUGGCACCGCAAUCGUCCUCAGCCUGGUACAGGUUUUGUACCAGCGCCCUCGUCGUCGUCGUCGUAUUAGCCCCAUCUGGAGCCCUGAUCCCAGGUGUGGACAACCCUCCUUUCGGCAGCCUUUGCAUCGAUCUUUACAUCCUUUUUCCUCCUCAUGCAGUCCCGACGGCGAGAAAUCAGCAGAACUUGCCAGCUCUCGUAUUUAGUGCACAGCGCUGACUAAUAAUGUUCGAGGCUCGUUCCAACUCUCGCUUGCUUGUCACGGAAUAAUCAUCGAAUCCCAAUACCCAAAACUCCAUUCUGGCGUGCGAAUACCGCGAGCGAUGCUCGGCUUCCAAAGGGGUGGUGGUGGGAGGGGGUGGUCUCCCACGGGAUACAGCCAGGGUGUUCGUUUGGUUAACCAUUAAAACGAUGGUUGGGAGUUGAAGGCUCCGGUAAGAGAGAGAGAAAGAGAGAGAUCUGCGCAAGGGAAGGAGUACGACAGAGCGGACUGACAGCCAAAUGGGAUGAAAGCUAAAGGCUCCGAGACAAGCUGACCCACUGCAAUUGAAAUCGUGAGAGAUUGCUGAAAGCGGAGACGCGCCGCUGGUGUCGAUG